rnacentral:rRNA from 1 species
GAUGAACGCUGGCGGCGUGCCUAAUACAUGCAAGUCGAGCGAACAGACGGGGAGCUUGCUCCUCUGACGUUAGCGGCGGACGGGUGAGUAACACGUGGAUAACCUACCUAUAAGACUGGGAUAACUUCGGGAAACCGGAGCUAAUACCGGAUAAUAUAUUGAACCGCAUGGUUCAAUAGUGAAAGACGGUUUUGCUGUCACUUAUAGAUGGAUCCGCGCCGCAUUAGCUAGUUGGUAAGGUAACGGCUUACCAAGGCAACGAUGCGUAGCCGACCUGAGAGGGUGAUCGGCCACACUGGAACUGAGACACGGUCCAGACUCCUACGGGAGGCAGCAGUAGGGAAUCUUCCGCAAUGGGCGAAAGCCUGACGGAGCAACGCCGCGUGAGUGAUGAAGGUCUUCGGAUCGUAAAACUCUGUUAUUAGGGAAGAACAAAUGUGCAAGUAACUAUGCACGUCUUGACGGUACCUAAUCAGAAAGCCACGGCUAACUACGUG